CGUCGGUUGCUGGUGGAGGAGAGUAGUAGGUAAUGCAAGCGAAGCCUGGGCCCCGGCGGGCUCGCACCACGCACACGGAGUUUUAGGUAUUAAGGAUGCCUUAUAUCAAGAGGGAGGUGAGUACCGCUGCAUAGGAGCGCGUGCGCCGGACCUCAAGCGACUGAAGGAGUUGAAGAGAGUUACUUUGAAAGUUACUGGAAGCGCCACCGCCACCGCACUUAGUGCGGUCCCGGCCGCGGG